rnacentral:rRNA from 1 species
UAGAAAGAAUACCGAUUGCGAAGGCAGCUUUCUGGAUCAUUACUGACACUGAGGAACGAAAGCAUGGGUAGCGAAGAGGAUUAGAUACCCUCGUAGUCCAUGCUGUAAACGAUGUGUGUUAGACGUUGGAAAUUUAUUUUCAGUGUCGCAGCGAAAGCAGUAAACACACCGCCUGGGGAGUACGACCGCAAGGUUAAAACUCAAAUGAAUUGACGGGGACCCGCACAAGUAGUGGAGCAUGUGGUUUAAUUCGAAGAUACGCGCAGAACCUUACCAACACUUGACAUGUUCGUCGCGACUCUAAGAGAUUAGAGUUUUCGGUUCGGCCGGACGAAACACAGGUGCUGCAUGGCUGUCGUCAGCUCGUGUCGUGAGAUGUUGGGUUAAGUCCCGCAACGAGCGCAACCCUCACUUUUAGUUGCCAUCAUUUAGUUGGGCACUCUGAAAGAACUGCCAGUGAUAAGCUGGAGGAAGGUGGGGAUGACGUCAAGUCCUCAUGGCCCUUACGUGUUGGGCUACACACGUGCUACAAUGGUAUUUACAAUAGGAAGCAAGAUGGCGACAUCAAGCAAAUCCUAAAAAAAUACCUCAGUUCGGAUUGCACUCUGCAACUCGAGUGCAUGAAGCUGGAAUUACUAGUAAUCGCGGAUCAGCGUGCCGCGGUGAAUACGUUCCCGGGUCUUGUACACACCGCCCGUCACACCAUGGGAGUUGGUUCUACCUUAAGCCAAAGUUUAAAAACUUUGACCACGGUAUAGUCAGCGACUGGGGUGAAGUCGUAACAAGGUAGCCGUAA